rnacentral:tRNA from 1 species
GCCGAAGUAGCUCAGGGGUAGAGCAACUGAUUCGUAAUCAGUAGGUCGGAGGUUCAAUUCCUCUCUUCGGCACCA